CCUUCGCAACUGMGUAUUCCUCCUAAUAUCUACGCAUUUCACCGCUACACUAGGAAUUCUACUCUCCUCUCCUGCACUCAAGCCCUACAGUUUCAAAAGCUUACUACGGUUGAGCCGUAGCCUUUCACUUCUGACUUGCAGGGCCGCCUACGCACCCUUUACGCCCAGUUAUUCCGGAUAACGCUUGCCCCCUACGUAUUACCGCGGCUGCUGGCACGUAGUUAGCCGGGGCUUCCUCCUAAGGUACCGUCAUUAUCUUCCCUUAGGACAGAGCUUUACGACCCGAAGCCUUCAUCGCUCACGCGGCGUUGCUGCAUCAGGGUUUCCCCAUUGUGCAAUAUUCCCCACUGCUGCCUCCCGUAGAGUCUGGACCGUGUCUCAGUUCCAGUGUGGCCGAUCACCCUCUCAGGUCGGCUACCAUCGUCGCCUUGGUGAGCUUUUACCUCACCAACUAGCUAAUGGGACGCGGGUCAUCCUAUACCGAUAAAUCUUUGACAUUUCUAAGAUGCCUUAAAAUGUAUUAUCUCGUAUUAGCAUAUCUUUCGAUAUGUUAUCCGUGUGUAUAGGGCAGGUUACCCACGCGUUACUCACCGUCGCGCUA
rnacentral:rRNA from 1 species